rnacentral:rRNA from 1 species
UACGUAGGUGGCAAGCGUUGUCCGGAAUUAUUGGGCGUAAAGCGCGCGUAGGCGGUCUUUUAAGUCUGAUGUGAAAGCCCACGGCUCAACCGUGGAAGGUCAUUGGAAACUGAAAGGCUUGAGUACAGAAGAGGAAAGCGGAAUUCCACGUGUAGCGGUGAAAUGCGUAGAGAUGUGGAGGAACACCAGUGGCGAAGGCGGCUUUCUGGUCUGUAACUGACGCUGAGGCGCGAAAGCGUGGGGAGCAAACAGG